rnacentral:rRNA from 1 species
UACGGAGGGUGCAAGCGUUAUCCGGAAUCACUGGGCGUAAAGGGCGCGUAGGCGGUCUGUUAAGUCCGAUGUUAAAGACCGGGGCUCAACCCCGGCAUGGCGUUGGAUACUGGCAGGCUAGACGACUGGAGAGGAAAGUAGAAUUACCAGUGUAGCGGUGAAAUGCGUAGAUACUGGUAGGAAUACCCAUUGCGAAGGCAGCUUUCUGGACAGUUUGUGACGCUGAGGCGCGAAAGUGUGGGGAGCAAACCGG